UGAAACAGACAUCUAUAUAAAUACAAUUGCGAAAAAAAUAUUUACGAAACUUUGUAAGUCGCGCGUAGCGCAUGUGAUUAAAAAAAAACCUUCGCACAUAAGGUGGUCAGCUAAGAUGGUCAUUGUUGUGUGUCUAAAUAGCAUUACUCUUAGUAUAUAGUCUAAUUAGUAAAUUUGUGUGUAAUAUACGUACAUAUGUAUUAGGAAAAAAUGAACUUUUCAUAUGUUUCUUAAUUACACACGUAUAUAGGAAUUUUUC
rnacentral:lncRNA from 1 species